rnacentral:tRNA from 1 species
GCCCCUGUGAUGGAACUGGCAGACAUGGUGGCCUCAAAAGCCAUUGCCGAAAGGCGUGUGGGUUCGAAUCCCACCGGGGGCACCA